GACGAACGCUGGCGGCGUGCUUAACACAUGCAAGUCGAACGGAAAGGCCCUGCUUUUGUGGGGUGCUCGAGUGGCGAACGGGUGAGUAACACGUGAGUAACCUGCCCUUGACUUUGGGAUAACUUCAGGAAACUGGGGCUAAUACCGGAUAGGAGCUCCUGCUGCAUGGUGGGGGUUGGAAAGUCUCGGCGGUUGGGGAUGGACUGGCGGCUUAUCAGCUUGUUGGUGGGGUAGUGGCUUACCAAGGCGUUGACGGGUAGCCGGCCUGAGAGGGUGACCGGCGACAUUGGGACUGAGAUACGGCCCAGGCUCCUACGGGAGGCAGCAGUGGGGAAGAUUGCACAAUGGGCGGAAGCCUGAUGCAGCAGCGCCGCGUGCGGGAUGACGGCCUUCGGGUUGUAGACCGCUUUCGCCUGUAACGAAGCGUGAGUGACGGUAAUGGGUAAAGAAGCACCGGCUAACUACGUG
rnacentral:rRNA from 1 species